CCAUACAGCCAUAUCACCCUGCAGCCCAAGACCGGUUACUCACUGAAGCUAAGCAGGGCUGAGCCUGGUCAGUACCUGGAUGGGAGACCACUAGGGAACACUAGGUUGCUGUUGGAA
rnacentral:rRNA from 1 species